CUAUGGGAGGAGCAGGAGCAGACGUGACAAGGAUAGUCUGCUGUUUAAGUGAAGGCAUUUGUGCAGCCCUGUAAUACAUCUUCAUUUGAGGUAGUCCAAGACCUCCAGCUUUAUUGGAAGGACCUUUGGCAGCAAUUACAGCUUUCUGGGUUAUUGACCUGCUGAAAGGUGAAUUCAUCUCCCAGUGUCUGGUGGAAAGCAGACUGAAGCAAGUUUUUCUCUUGGAUUUUUCAUGUGCUUAGCUCUAGUCUAUUUCUUUAGUAUCAGUCCUUAUUUAAUGAUACCCAUAACAUGAUGCAGCCACAUCUAUGCUUGAAAAUAUGGAGUGGUACUCGGUAAUGUAUUGGAUUGGAUUUGCCCCAAACACAACACUUCGUAUUCUGAAAAAAAAGUUAAUUGCUUUACCACAUUUUUUUCAGUAUUACUUUGCUGCAAACAGGAUGCAUGUUUUCUGUACAGGUGUCCUUCUGUACAGGUGUCCUUCACUCUGUCAAUUAGGUUAGUAUUGUGGAGUAACUACAAUGUCGUUGAUCCAUCCUCAGUUUUCUCCUAUCACAGCAAUUGACCUCUGUAACUGUUUUAAAGUCACCAUUGGCCUCGUUGUAAAAUCCCUGAGGGGUUUCCUUUCCCUCCAGCUAAUGAGUUAGGAAGGACGCCUGUAUCUUUGUAGUGACUGGGUGUAUUGAUACAACAUCUAAAGUGUAAUUAAUAACUUCACCAUGCUCAUAGGGAUAUUCAAUGUGUGCCUUUUUCUUGUUUGCAACCAUCUACCAAUAUAUGCAGAGGCCCAUUAUCAGCAACCAUCACUCCUGUGUUCUAACAGCAUGUUGUGUUAGCUAUAACUUUUUAAAAGCGAACUGGCCAUUAGAAAACCCUUUUGCAAAUAUGUUAGCACAGCAGAAAACUGUUGUUCUGAUCAAAGAAACAAUAAAUGUCACGAGUCCGACCGAGGGUGGCUCCCCGUCCCGUUCGGGUGGCGCUCAGAGGUCGUCGUCGCCGGCCUAUUGGCUGCCACUGAUUUUCUUUCCUCCCCCUCCUUGUAUGUUUAUUGUUAGCACCUGUUAGUUAGUAAUUAGUUGGGCUUUAUUAGACAGCCGGCCCGCCUGUUUCUUUGUGCGCGAUUAAUUAUUGUGACCUUCGGGUAUGUCGUAGAGGAACGUGUUUGUUCCUGGUUGUGUAUUCUGCUGUACUGUUUUCGUCCCCCGUGUUUGGGGCAUUUGGUUUUUGAGCACCCAGUGUUGCGUGAGUGCAUUAAAUAGCACAGUAUUGCA